CAACGAAUAUUCCGCAAUGGACGCAAGUCUGACGGAGCGACGCCGCGUGCAGGAUGAAGUCCCUCGGGAUGUAAACUGCUGUCAGAGGCUAGAAACACCGAUCAGCCUCAGAGGAAGCACCGGCUAACUCCGUGCCAGCAGCCGCGGUAAUACGGAGGGUGCAAGCGUUGUUCGGAAUCACUGGGCUUAAAGCGCGUGUAGGCGGGAUGUCUUGUGCUUUGUGAAAGCCCCCGGCUCAACCGGGGAAUCG
rnacentral:rRNA from 1 species